rnacentral:rRNA from 1 species
GAUGAACGCUAGCUACAGGCUUAACACACGCAAGUCGAGGGGUAACGAGAGGAAAGCUUGCUUUCCUUGUCGACGACCGGCGCACGGGUGAGUAACGCGUAUCCAACCUGCCCCCAACUAAGGAAUAACCUUGCGAAAGUAAGACUAAUAACUUAUAAUUUCCUCAGAUGUCAUCUGACGAGGAAUAAAGAUUUAUCGGUUGUGGAUGGGGAUGCGUCUGAUUAGCUUGUUGGCGGGGUAACGGCCCACCAAGGCAACGAUCAGUAGGGGUUCUGAGAGGAAGGUCCCCCACAUUGGAAAUGAGACACGGUCCAAACUCCUACGGGAGGCAGCAGUGAGGAAUAUUGGUCAAUGGGCGAAAGCCUGAACCAGCCAAGUAGCGUGCAGGAUGACGGCCCUAUGGGUUGUAAACUGCUUUUAUACAGGAAUAAAGUUAGCCACGUGUGGUUAUUUGUAGGUACUGUAUGAAUAAGGACCGGCUAAUUCCGUGCCAUCCGCCGCGGUAA